rnacentral:tRNA from 1 species
UUUAUAAAGACUAAUCUUUUUUUAGAAA